rnacentral:ncRNA from 1 species
GGACGGUGUGAGGCGGGUAGCAGCCCCCAGCAUGCUGGGACUGGGUCUUAGAGUCCAGUUGCUUGGGAAUGCAGCCCAAAGCUGUGGUAAACUCCAUCUAAGGCUAAAUACUGGCAGGAGACCGACAGUUAACAAGAACCGUAAGGGAAAGUUGAUCCAGAAUUUAGGGACACUCAGAUCAGCAUGGGGUCAGAGGGCUGAUCCA